UCUUCAUCUGAUGAACGUAUAUAAAAAAAAAACCCUGAUUUUGCCAUUACCCUCUCUCCAUCAGAACUCCUCUUCUUGGAUGAACUAAACCCUUGGUUUCUCAUCUUCUCUGUUUAUAUUGUUGUUUGGUCUUUUUCAACUGAAUUAUCAAAAUAUUGGUGUAGUUAAUUUCUAGGGUUGAAGCUGCUAAAUGGUUUGAAGAAGUGGUUAUUUGAGAAAUCUAAGAAGACAUAUUUGAGACAUCAUUAGCUGAAGAAAUUGUAUGUUCUUCGCUGAUUAUUUUUGGAUUUCUUCUUUAAUAUCUUAUUUUUUUUCUUCAAUCUGUGAGGUGUGGGUACUGUAUUUGAUAUAAGCUAAGUUCAGGAAACUCCUAUAUAGGCUAAAAAAUUGUUUCAUGCAACUAUUUUAGAACCCCUUUUGUGAUAUUCAGCAAACAAUUAAAUUGGGUCCUUUAUCAAAGUGGGUUUGAAAUAAUUUUAAGCUUUUUGGUUGGGUCUUUGCUCUUCUUGGUUCUACAAUAUCAAUUUUCUUCCCUAUUUUGGUUGUCAAAAGAAAAAGCUGAGAUUUGCCUUUUUCCUUUUACUUUCUCUACAAUUUCACUCUUGUUGGGUGCAUUUUAUAGUGGUGAUUUUAUAUAGUAUGGUGAAAUUGUUUUCUCUGGACCUGAUGUUGGAUUUAAACUUGUUUCUUCUUGUAAUUUUGUGUAUAACUUUAAUCGACCAUAUCUUGAGUGACUAAAAAUUACCAUGGAAGUGGCUAUAAAGUAUAAAAAGUUUAUCUUUUUCUCAACAUGGUGUUUUUGAAUGCCUGAAGAGAUAUAGUUAAAAAGCCAGAUUAUUGCUGCUCUGCUUCGUAAAUGUAGAUACAGAGGAAAAUUUUAUUGGUUUCAGUUAGUAGAAUAAUGUAUUUUUGGAACAAUAUUCAUGUGAUUAAAUUUAAGUCAAAUAGUAAAUGAAGAAAUCUCUUUAGGUACAGGGAAGUGGAAGACAAAGGAGAAACGUUUAUGCAAUAUUGUGUUCUGGUCAAGAUAAAAAAGGUUCAUAUAGCGUAUUUUAUUGCUAUUCUAGAUCCUAAAAUUUGAAAUAAGCCACCUGCCAGAUGCAAAUAAGCCUAUAUAUUGUCAUAUAAUUGCUUGACCUAUUGGUUUCUUGUUGAUGAUGUGAAAAGAAUUCAAUGGUCUUGGCUAACAGGAAAAAGAAAGUUUUUUCUUUAAAGGUUUUGAUUGUUCUCCCAGAAUCCCAAGUGUUCUUCUACGACACUUUGUCACUUCGUAGACGACUGGUUCGACAUCGCAGAGCUCAUUUUUUUCUUUAAGGGUUUUGAUUGUUCUCCCAUAAUCCCAAGUGUUCUUCUACGACACUUUGGUCAUUUCGUAGAUGACUGGUUCAACAUCGCAGAGCCCGUGAAUCGCUAGUGUGAGAAAACCAGCAACAACACGAGGAGACCGUUAGAAGCUACAACUUGCUACACUCCCAGGAUUGCCUCUCAUUGUGUACCGACGCACCAGGUGAUACGCCGCCAGCGUAGGUUUCUGAUUCAGCUGUUUUGAAGAGCUCCUUUGAUCCGGAGCGUAUAUUUUUGGUGUCAAAAAUGAAGAAAGGGAAGGAGACAGUGAAGACGUUGAUCUUACUUAAGAAGAUCUUUUAUGAAGCUUUCUACAUGUUCUAAGAAUCUUUUUGCUAUCGAACAUUUUGAAACUUAUCCUAAAUCUUGAAAUGUAAAAAUUAAUUAUGCAUUUUGGGUUGAACAUUUUUCUUUUACGGGUAUGUUGGAUUAGGAA